GUCCCUUCAACCAAAGUAUUUUUAAGCUUAUGUUGGAUGAAGGACGACAGUACUUAGUGUUAGUGUGUACAGUGGCCCGCAUUAAUAAUGGAGAUGGGUAUUUCUGAUGUUUUAUCAAAAAUUUCCGUGGUAAUGUGUUCGCUGUUUGAACGACUCAAGGGACAUAUGCCAAGGGACAUAUGCCACGUUUACUGGAAGGUUUCCCCCACUAAUAUGAUUGUUAGUGCUCCAUCUAUGAAUAACCUUCCUCGCUUUCAGUGAAGGAACAGAAACCUGAGGAGGAAGAAGCAGCUGUGGAGAACAUGAAUGGGAG